rnacentral:ribozyme from 18 species
AAAAAGGCAACGAGAUGAAGAACAAGAAGUGACAUUCGAUUUUUCUUGGUUUUGCAUCGUUUUUGUUUUGUUUUGUUCGUU